rnacentral:lncRNA from 10 species
CAGGCAUUGGGCCAGACUCUGGGCACAGCAACAAGCAGGACAGACUCGGUCUCUCCCCAGAGGAGCUCAGAGCCUGGCGGGGGCAGAUACCCAUGAAACCAUCACUCAUGUAUUACAUACUUUCCAGAAAUUUAAUUGCAUUGUGUGUUCCUGUGGAUCUCUUUGGAUGCAUUCUGUUUGGGGAAAGCAGCAAGCAGGUUUACCAGAUGGGAUCAAGAGGGAAGAGGAAGGAGGCCAGCCUUGGAGGCUGAUCCCAGUGAGAGGGCUUCUCCUAGAGGGGUGCCAGGGCCAGGAGCCUCCAAGACCUGUGCGUGGGCUCACUGAUGCCCCUCUCGCCUCUCUCUGCUUGUCCCUCCCACCCUGACCCACCUGCUGCUCUCCACGCCCAUGGCUCCCACCUUUGUUUGUAUCUCCACUGUCUCUUGCCUUUUCUUUAAAAAUCUGACAGUCUCUGAGCCCCCUCUCCCUGCAAUCCAUCCUCCAUGAUGCCAGAAAUCCAAUUAUGUAACAGAGCUAGGAUCCAGCCACUCCUCUGCUCGCUUCCUGUUAGGGGCUGUGCUGCGUCUCCUUCUCCACCCCAGAAAUUUUUAUGUUGAAGUCCUAAUCCCCAGUAUAUCAGAGCAUGCCCAUAUCUGGAGAUAGGGCCUCUAAAGAGAUAGUCAAGUUAAAAUGAGGCUGUUAAGGUGGACCCUCAUCCAAUCUGACUGGAGGUCUUAUAAAAGGAGGAGAUUGGACACACAGAGACCCCAGGGCUAGGCAUAUUCAGAGGAGAGACUGUGAAGACACAGUGAGAAGGUGACCACCUGCAAGCCGAGGAGAGAGGCCCUGGGAGAACCCAAACUUGCCAACACCUUGAUCUUAGACUUCCGGCCUCCCGAAUUGUUAGAAAAUAAAUGUCUGUUGCUUAAGCCCCCUAGUCUGUGUAUUUUGUCAUGGAAGCUCUAGCAAACUAAUACUGUCCUCAUCUCAGACUCUGCUCUCCUGUGGCCCACAGAACAGGUGCAAACUUAGGACUGCACAGCCCAGCACCGCAGCCUCCUUCCCCGCAAUGCUCUAGCAACGCUGAAAGGGCUGCACCAAGUUGUUCAUGUCUCUGCGUCUCUGCAAUGCCACUCCCUCUGCCUGGGGCAGCCUCCCCUCCUUCUUGUCAACAGGCAGAGGCUCUGCUCUGCAGGUCUGACUUGUACAUCCACCACCUGCACUCAGCAUAGGACCUGGCACUGGGCAGAUGCCCCUGAAGGCUUAGAGGGAGGAAACAGAAAUGUCAGAGGGGCUGCAUUGGUGGACACAGGCAGGCCGGCUUUGUGGUCGUACCACCUGCGACUUACACAGCUUCCAAGUAUCUCUUAUUUAGGUCAAUGUUUUCUUCUUCUUCUUUUUUUUUUUUUCUUGAUGCCCAGUAAAGUUCAACUUUAUUGUAAAUUUUUUGUUUUUUGAGUCGGGGUCUCACUCUGCUGCCCAGGCUGGAGUGCAGUGGUGUAAUCAUAGCUCACUGCAGCCUGAACUCCUGGGCUCAAGUGAUCCUCCUGCCCAAAGUUU